GAUGAACGCUGGCGGCGUGCCUAAUACAUGCAAGUCGAGCGAACAGACGAGGAGCUUGCUCCUCUGACGUUAGCGGCGGACGGGUGAGUAACACGUGGAUAACCUACCUAUAAGACUGGGAUAACUUCGGGAAACCGGAGCUAAUACCGGAUAAUAUAUUGAACCGCAUGGUUCAAUAGUGAAAGACGGUUUUGCUGUCACUUAUAGAUGGAUCCGCGCCGCAUUAGCUAGUUGGUAAGGUAACGGCUUACCAAGGCAACGAUGCGUAGCCGACCUGAGAGGGUGAUCGGCCACACUGGAACUGAGACACGGUCCAGACUCCUACGGGAGGCAGAAGUAGGGAAUCUUCCGCAAUGGGCGAAAGCUUGACGGAGCAACGCCGCGUGAGUGAUGAAGGUCUUCGGAUCGUAAAACUCUGUUAUUAGGGAAGAACAAAUGUGUAAGUAACUAUGCACGUCUUGACGGUACCUAAUCAGAAAGCCACGGCUAACUACGUG
rnacentral:rRNA from 1 species